rnacentral:tRNA from 2 species
GCGCCUGUGGCUCAACUGGAUAGAGCGCCCGGUUUCGGCCCGGGGGGUUGUGGGUUCGAAUCCUACCAGGCGUGCCA